ACACAUACAUGGGUCAAAGACGAGACGUCACCAUUUUGGUGUCCGCAUCAAAUAUAAUUUACAAAAGUGAUUUUACAUACAAAAAAAACAUAUAAAAUGCAAGUAAAAUGUCUACUUUUAUGUUUCAAAUAACUUUUGUGAAAAUACAAUGACCAAAUAUGAGUUUAAUAAUGCUCCAAAGUGUAAAAUCGUCAUUCAGCGUAAUGGUCCGGACUAUGAUUUUACUAAUACAUUUUGAAAUAAACGUAUAAAAUACCAUGUUAAAAAAAAUAUUUGCUUCCUUGGCAUGUUCACAUAAGUGUUGGCUGUUUUAUAUUAAUAGGACUAUGUGUUAUUUUUUUCGUUAAAUAUUGAAACAACUAGGGGACUUUUGUCCCGAAUAUGCAGUUUGUCAGAGGUCAUUCAGUGUAAUGGUAUCAGGAAGCCAUUUUGAAAUUAAAUAAACAAACAAUAGUCAUCAAGCAGUCUGUGACAUCAUCAAAAGGCCCCCUGAAGACCAUGUGGUGAUUCAGCAAGCAACCAGAGAAGAAAGCAAGCUGCCUUGGCUGCAAAUCCUGAUCACCCGUCAAUCAGGAAUUUAUCAGAUGCUGCAGCUGAGAAGAGGCGAAAGCAAUGGCGGGAAAAUCAAAGAAAACACAGGGCAGAAGCUAAACGUAUAAGGGCAGUUCUGGAUCUUAUUAUACAGUAUUACCACCUGUUCAGUUCAUUUUUACGAAUAUGAUAUGCAUUAUGGAAUAAAAAUGAUUAUUAAUUUCA